rnacentral:rRNA from 1 species
GAUGAACGCUGGCGGCGUGCCUAAUACAUGCAAGUCGAGCGAACAGAUAAGGAGCUUGCUCCUUUGACGUUAGCGGCGGACGGGUGAGUAACACGUGGGUAACCUACCUAUAAGACUGGAAUAACUCCGGGAAACCGGGGCUAAUGCCGGAUAACAUUUAGAACCGCAUGGUUCUAAAGUGAAAGAUGGUUUUGCUAUCACUUAUAGAUGGACCCGCGCCGUAUUAGCUAAUUGGUAAGGUAACGGCUUACCAAGGCAACGAUACGUAGCCGACCUGAGAGGGUGAUCGGCCACACUGGAACUGAGACACGGUCCAGACUCCUACGGGAGGCAGCAGUAGGGAAUCUUCCGCAAUGGGCGAAAGCCUGACGGAGCAACGCCGCGUGAGUGAUGAAGGUCUUCGGAUCGUAAAACUCUGUUAUUAGGGAAGAACAAAUGUGUAAGUAACUGUGCACGUCUUGACGGUACCUAAUCAGAAAGCCACGGCUAACUACGUG